UCCUUCAUGGUGUAGUGGUUAUCUCCUUGAUUAAAAACUCCUCCUGGUGAAAAAUUCGAAGGUCUUGUGUUCAAAUCUCUUUGGUGGAA